rnacentral:rRNA from 1 species
AAGCAUAUCAAUAAGCGGAGGAAAAGAAACCAACAGGGAUUGCCCCAGUAACGGCGAGUGAAGCGGCAACAGCUCAAAUUUGAAAUCUGGCCCCUAGGGUCCGAGUUGUAAUUUGUAGAGGAUGCUUUUGGUGAGGUGCCGCCCGAGUUCCCUGGAACGGGACGCCACAGAGGGUGAGAGCCCCGUCUGGCUGGCCACCGAGCCUCUGUAAAGCUCCUUCGACGAGUCGAGUAGUUUGGGAAUGCUGCUCAAAAUGGGAGGUAUAUGUCUUCUAAAGCUAAAUAUUGGCCAGAGACCGAUAGCGCACAAGUAGAGUGAUCGAAAGAUGAAAAGCACCUUGAAAAGAGGGUUAAAUAGUACGUGAAAUUGUUGAAAGGGAAGCGCUUGUGACCAGACUUGGGCGCGGCGGAUCAUCCGGGGUUCUCUCCGGUGCACUUCGCCGCGUCUAGGCCAGCAUCAGUUCGUCGCGGGGGAAAAAGGCUUCGGGAACGUGGCUCCUCCGGGAGUGUUAUAGCCCGUUGCAUAAUACCCUGCGGUGGACUGAGGACCGCGCAUCUGCAAGGAUGCUGGCGUAAUGGUCACCAGCGACCCGUCUUGAAACACGGACCAAGGAGUCGUCUUCGUAUGCGAGUGUUCGGGUGUCAAACCCCUACGCGUAAUGAAAGUGAACGCAGGUGAGAGCUUCGGCGCAUCAUCGACCGAUCCUGAUGUUCUCGGAUGGAUUUGAGUAAGAGCAUACGGGGCCGGACCCGAAAGAAGGUGAACUAUGCCUGUAUAGGGUGAAGCCAGAGGAAACUCUGGUGGAGGCUCGCAGCGGUUCUGACGUGCAAAUCGAUCGUCAAAUAUGGGCAUGGGGGCGAAAGACUAAUCCAACCUUCUAGUAGCUGGUUUCCGCCGAAG